AAUGGGGGCAACCCUGACCGAGCAACGCCGCGUGAGUGAAGAAGGUUUUCGGAUCGUAAAGCUCUGUUGUAAGAGAAGAACGUGUGUGAGAGUGGAAAGUUCACACAGUGACGGUAACUUACCAGAAAGGGACGGCUAACUACGUGCCAGCAGCCGCGGUAAUACGUAGGUCCCGAGCGUUGUCCGGAUUUAUUGGGCGUAAAGCGAGCGCAGGCGGUUUAAUAAGUCUGAAGUUAAAGGCAGUGGCUUAACCAUUGUUCGCUUUGGAAACUGUUAGACUUGAGUGCAGAAGGGGAGAGUGGAAUUCCAUGUGUAGCGGUGAAAUGCGUAGAUAUAUGGAGGAACACCGGUGGCGAAAGCGGCUCUCUGGUCUGUAACUGACGCUGAGGCUCGAAAGCGUGGGGAGCAAA
rnacentral:rRNA from 1 species